rnacentral:misc_RNA from 1 species
UUCAUGUAUGAUAGGGCAUCUCUCUGUCCGCUCUACGGUGGCAAAGCAUCAACGAGGAAAGCGGAAUAAGGCCAGCGGACAAGUCACAGAAAAGCUCUCCAGGGUGGAGAGGGGGAGGGGUGCGGAAUGGGCUGCGCGGCGGCGUUCGCGUGACUCCAGCUCCGCCAUCCGUCUCCUCCUCUUUCCCCUGCCCUAGCAACACCCUCCGUACUCUUUCCUGUGAUGAUUUGUGUCGACGUGGAACGCAUUAGGGGCAGUUUUGCGACUCAUGCUUUGAUCUACAGUCGAUGCCUUUCGUGUGUGCGUGUGCACGUGCGCGCACGCUGUCCCGUAAGGUGCAGGCCACCUAUCUUGGGAACGGUCUUUUUCUGUGCCGCGUUGCACGCGCAGGGAGGGUGUGGGCCUCUGUCCGACUGUGCGUCCACCCCCCCCCAUCGCCACCCUCCGGCUCCUCUGCUACACCAUCCUGAAAAGUCCACAGCGCCCCAUCUGCACUUCCUCACGCGCAG